CACUCACUCACUCACUCACUCACUCACUCACUCACUCACUCUUUUCCAGAAACACAGUACAGUCAUGAUGUGCUAACUAAUCACAUUGUGUUUGUGUUAACCAUCCCACCAUAUAGAAAGUUUAUGACAUGUGAUUUGUGCACCUUACAGGUUGGGUGCACUUCCUUCCAGCUCUAUCCAUUUCUUGUGUGCAGAGCCCAAGUGGGUUUGGGGGAGUUUAUCCUCUGAGAGCUCCGACCUGAGGCUGUCAUUGGUCAGUUGGGCGGCGGAGGGGCGGCGAUGGUUUGGGACCAGCAUGUAACAGGUGCUGCAGAGUCACCCUGCCCAAAACCUACUAACAGUUUUCAUGGACUAGUUUUCAACGCACAAUAUGAGGAAACCAAGGCAUCAAAGAUAUGUUUGACUUAAAACACACUGCUGCAUGGGGCUGAAAUCAAGCUGAGAAUSUUUUAUUUUCUCAUGAAAUGGGUGUGUAURAGCUCACAGCUAUUAUAUACUAACUAAUCAGGCAGACCUGAACAAGACCAGUCAAGGAUAUCCGUCCUUUUUCUCUGUUGUGUCAAAGUCAUUAUGGGUUCGCUGAGAUUGUUGUAUUAAAGAAAACUAAGUCAACACUGCACUACAUUCUCUCCAUAACCCAUUGGUGACAAAAUAGUGAUCUGCCUUUCAGUCCACAAAUGUUUCCUGUAGCAUAGUCUGAUAAGAGCUCUUGAUACUUCCUCUAUAUAAAGAAAACAUUAUUUUGCCUUUGAUAAAAGCCCCAUAGGUCCAAUCAAUAUGCUUGUGUCAGUGCCCGUGUUACACCUCCUUCAGUUUCUGGAAAGCUAAGUGUCCCCACCUAUUGGCUGCCCUUUUAGUCCCUUUAAUGACUCCACAUUCCUGAAUUGACAAUGCUGACCUGACCUUGCUGUGUUAUGUUGAAUGGCACUCUGCUCCGGCCAACCUGAAGGAGACGCUGUUGGACCAGAGUGUGGAGUACAGCAGGAUAUACUGUAUCUGACAGCCCUAGUGGCAGUGAUGACUCUGUCCCAGGACCCAUCUCCUUCUCCCACACUGGAUGGUCCAGUCCUGCUGGAGUGUGUGGAGCUGCUGCUGGUGGCCCUGGCGGGCAACAGAAGGGGGUACGGAGUUCCUCUCCCAGACCCUGUGGGAUGCCAGCCUGCUGCUCUCCCAAAGUCUUCAGACAUCUCUGUUUCCUCGCUGGUGCAGUCUGUUGGCGGUCCACCUGGCCCUGAAGGCCCCUGAGGCUCUCAGGAUAGCCUGGGCCCUGUCUGGCUGGGGCCACGUCACUGAGCAUGGUCCUGAGGGACCACACUCCUCUCCCUGUCUUCAGCACCAGGGCUUUACCUGCUGCAGGAUGAGAGUAGGCCAGGAGAGGAGGAGGGGAGAGGAGCUUGUACCUGAUGCAGGUCAAUCAGGCUCUGCCCUUCCUGCUGGAGCUGCUGCRGGAGGAAUACUGGGAUAACGCUGGUGCCCUGGAAGUGUUGCUGUGUCACCUUCCCCAGUCUGACCUGAGACCUGUACCGAGGGAGGCCAGGGACACUGGGUGUGCUAGUCUCUAUGAGCAGGAUGAGGCCAAUGUGUUUGCAGAACCGUCUGUGAUGUCAGCAUCUCGGCUUCCAUACCUGCUUCAGCUCGCUGAAAGUACCCAGCAUCGUCAGUGGUGGCAGAGCGCGUGGGUGUGUGCGCCAGGGAGAAUGUUACAGACCUGCUGGAGAACCUUGGGGUCUGCAAAGACCUCCAGCCAGGUAACACAGUGGCCAAGGACCAAGGGCCACAUACUUACUCAUCGUGUCUAACUGUUCUUCCAUUCUAGGUGAGACACAGGACCCGGCCUGGUUGGCUCUUCUCAUGGAUUCUGGUUUCCAUGGUGGCCUGUUGGCCAGGCUAGUAUUCKUCCUGUGGCUGCUGGAAAUGUCUGAUCUACGGCCCCUCUGUGAUCCUAAGAGUUUAUGUAAGAACAUCCAGGAAAUUACCUGUAUGUCCAGCCAGAACGGUGUCCAGUUGCCUGCUGCCUUUACUGCAGCUAUGACUGGAGACCUGCCUGGAUGAUACAGUAGUCUGGUUCACACAAUCUAUUUCCUUAGGACCUCCUCUUUGAUGAUCUAAGUCCAGAAUAAAUACAUCCAUGGAUGCUGUAUGAAUGCCUACAGAAGUUACAAACUAUGUGGGCUUUGAAUGGACACUCUGCAGCUGCUUAAUUCCUAUGUUCCUAUCCUACACUAUAARGCAGUAGCAUUUGGCAGGAAGGCUCUCAGAUGAGUAAUGUACGAGAGCUGACUGACUACAGCCAGAUGAAUGGCAAUGAUCAGAUUACUUACUGCUGCUGAUGAGGCCUGCUAAGUAUUGAACAGCUAUAACCUAUGGAGAGCCUCUCCUUACACCUACAAUGCCUGAGCUGAGUGUCUAUAGUGACUCAUCCAAAGAGCCUCAUUUCAGUUGAUGCCAUUGCUUGUUUUAUUAACAUUGUGUUUCCAUGCAUUUGCAUGUCUGUGUAAUAAUAAUGCAACCAUGAUGCAAGUAAUAUUUUGCAUGGUUUUAAAAGUUAUGUUUUUAAUGUCAUAGAUUAAAUAAUCUAUUCAAGUGGGAUUGUCCUCUCUUUCCUAUAGGCUUUCAUGUUUAGAUGUGUUUUAUCUGUAGCCCAACGUUAAAUCCCUCUGUUGUACUUGACUAGACCAUGAACAAAGCCCCUCUGUGAGGAUAUGCAUACAGCUCUGACUCCCUAGACCGGUUCCAACUGCCUCUGACCACUCCUGGUGUAACUGUCAUACCCCCAGCAGCCACAGCAAGGCACCCUUCAUUUCAGUCUACAGUAAACUACAUUGCAUUUUCU